GCGCCACUCAGCCGGCCCGUGGGGUUUUUUUAUCUAGGAGGAUUUGUACCCUCCAGUGCUAGCAACUGAGCUGUCAUCUGAUGGGUCACCAAAGAGGCUGAGGUGCUGAUGAGGAUGGGGAGAAAGGGUUCUUUGAAGCACAGAAAAUUUAAAAUUACAUUCCUGGGGCC